ACCGCAAGGAUUUUCGCGAUAUAGGGGAUCAGCGGCAGGUUCAGGAUCAGAAGGAUCAGGUUGCCGAUAUACAUCGAGAUAAUAACGGCCCAGAAGAUCUGCGGGUCGUCGACCAUCAGGCGUGGGCC
rnacentral:ncRNA from 1 species